AAUGACAAAACCACGUCACUGCUGUCCUACAGACUGCAAAACGCAGCUAAAAGUCCGAUGUUUUAGUUGGGUGACCAACAAACAGCUGCUGCUUUCCCCUUCCUAAUCAGGAAUCCGUUCCCUCUCACCAGGGGCACGGAGCAAAGUGGAAAAUACAACGACGACGAAACUUUCCGUAGGGAAGAGCCCUAAAUGCUAAACGGGAGAACAUCAGAAGACCUCAGAAGGAAAGAAACUAAGAAAAUAGGAUUAUUGUCGAAAGGUGUCACUCUCUUUUGGAUCAGAAGCGUGGGCUGAGAGUCAGCAGUGCCUUUUUCCCAGGAGCAAACCGCCGCGGAGCAGCGUCUGUUUUUGCUGAAGGUUUGAGCGGUGGAGUCAGCGACGGCAGGUUCCUGGCAAGGCAGAGCCCCGAGCCAGCGCUGAGCCCCCCUGCCAGCCCCCCUUGCCCAAGGCCACCCGCCUCUCCGCGCUCAGUGUUUGGAACGUUCGGCUGAGCCGUGCCCAGCGCCGGACCACGCGUCGCAGGAGCUUGCCGGUUGCUAACAACGAGGAUUAAUACGUUUGCUAACUCGCAACCGACGGUGUCCAGAUCUGAGAACAAGGAAAAAUAACACGAAAAAAACCGCCCUUAUGAAUUAUGAAUUUUUUCAUUCACAUGGGAAAGGUGAUGCAGGUAAUUUCCAGUGAGGUAUGUCCAGAGGUGGGGGCUCAGUUUAGUCCUUUACUGACGUAGUAGUUUUCUCACAGCUUUGCUAGAUACCUCAGAAGAAAUACUUUUGUAUUUUUUUUUUGGGUCGAUCUCUGGCAUUUAGGAUGAUGGACAGAUUUUUUCUGUAAGCAUACUUGGGCUAAACUGGAUAUGUUCAAAUAGGGCUAAUCUUUCGUUAUUUUAAAGUCAUACCUAGACAAAUGGAAGCAUCACAGAUGGAAGAGUUGCUCUGUGCAGAAACAGGGACGCCAUUAGCUUUGUUCAACAAGCGUCUGUACCACUACGCACAAAAAUAUUUCUAUUAUUUCCCACUCAGAACUCACAGAAAGCUGUCGCUUCCAGAUUAUCGAACGUCUUAACGUGCUCAAAAUUGCUCAGAAAAUAACAUUUCUUGAAACCUGCUGAAAACUCUGCAAUUUUGUUUAAAAGGACGGCGCAACCUUUUCCUUACAUCUACUCCUGGAUGCCAACAGUGGUGGGUAGACGGCCAAGGACACGUAAAACCCUUCUUUCCCCCGAAGGCCACGGGGAGCGAGGAAGCAGGCGAAGGCAGGAGCAGGCGGGGGGAGGCAGCGACUGAGGAGCCGCCCGGGAUCCAGAGGCUGCUCCCGCGACGCGGGAGGGAAGGAAGGAGACACCCGCGGCAUCGCUGCCCCAGCUGCGGCACACGGGAUGGCCCGGGCUGGUACCGCCUGCACUCCUCCCCUGUCCGAGUGCUGAGAACUCUGAACUUUCUCUGACAGCCUUGUUUUUUUUUUUCAUUUAUCUUUAAACUGCUUUAAAUUACGCCUCCUUGGGCUGUCGGACUC